CUACGGGCCGCUCCAGUGGGGAAUAUUGCGCAAUGGGGGCAACCCUGACGCAGCCAUGCCGCGUGUGUGAAGAAGGCCUUCGGGUUGUAAAGCACUUUCAAUGGGGAAGAAAAGCGUAGCGUUAAUAGCGUUGCGCCGUGACGUUACCCAUAGAAGAAGCACCGGCUAACUCCGUGCCAGCAGCCGCGGUAAUACGGAGGGUGCGAGCGUUAAUCGGAAUUACUGGGCGUAAAGCGCGCGUAGGCGGUUUGUUAAGUCAGCUGUGAAAGCCCCGGGCUUAACCUGGGAACUGCAGUUGAUACUGGCCGACUAGAGUACGAGAGAGGGAGGUAGAAUUCCAUGUGUAGCGGUGAAAUGCGUAGAUAUAUGGAGGAAUACCGGUGGCGAAGGCGGCCUCCUGGCUCGAUACUGACGCUGAGGUGCGAAAGCGUGGGGAUCAAACAGGAUUAGAUACCCGAGUAGUC
rnacentral:rRNA from 1 species